rnacentral:rRNA from 1 species
CACAAGCCUGGUCCUGACUUUAACCUCAGCUAUGGCCCAUAUUACACAUGCAAGCCCCCACACACCUGUGAGAAUGCCCUACACCCCCUGCCCGGGGGGAAGGAGCUGGCAUCAGGCACACUCCCUGUACCCCAAGACGCCUUGCUCAGCCACACCCACAUGGGAAAUCAGCAGUGAUAGACAUUAAGCCAUGAGCGAAAGCUUGACUUAGUUAGGGCCAAAAGGGCCGGUUAAGCUCGUGCCAGCCACCGCGGUUAUACGAGCGGCCCGAGUUGACAUUGCACGGCGUAAAGAGUGAUUAGAAGACUUACAAACUAAAGCCAAACCCUUCCCCCAAGCUGUCAUACGCUCACGGAUAGACGAAGACUUACAACGAAAGUAGCUUUAACAAAUUUGAACUCACGAAAGUCGGGGCACAAACUGGGAUUAGAUACCCCACUAUGCUCGACUUUAAACGACGACGGCCGAAUACCAAGACCGUCCGCCAGGGGACUACGAGCAACAGCUUAAAACCCAAAGGACUUGGCGGUGCUUCAAACCCACCUAGAGGAGCCUGUUUUAUAACCGAUAAUCCUCGUUAAACCUCACCAC